GACAGAGGUGCCAAGCGUUAGGCGGAAUCACUGGGCUUAAAGCGUGUGUAGGCGGGCGAUCAGGUACCUUGUGAAAUCCCACGGCUCAACCGUGGAACUGCUGGGGAUACUGGUUGUCUUGAGCCAGCUAGGGGCGAGCGGAACAGACGGUGGAGCGGUGAAAUGCGUAGAUAUCGUCUGGAACGCCGAAGGUGAAAACAGCUCGCUGGGGCUGCGCUGACGCUGAGACACGAAAGCCAGGGGAGCGAACGGG
rnacentral:rRNA from 1 species